rnacentral:rRNA from 1 species
AGUGAACGCUGGCGGUAGGCCUAACACAUGCAAGUCGAACGGCAGCACAGUAAGAGCUUGCUCUUACGGGUGGCGAGUGGCGGACGGGUGAGGAAUACAUCGGAAUCUACUUUUUCGUGGGGGAUAACGUAGGGAAACUUACGCUAAUACCGCAUACGACCUACGGGUGAAAGCAGGGGAUCUUCGGACCUUGCGCGAUUGAAUGAGCCGAUGUCGGAUUAGCUAGUUGGCGGGGUAAAGGCCCACCAAGGCGACGAUCCGUAGCUGGUCUGAGAGGAUGAGCGGGCAGCAUGGAAGUGAAUGGCGGAACGGGAGCAAGCGUGUGGCAGCAGUGGGGAAUGGUGGACGAGGGCCGUAGGUUUGAUAAGGCCAUACAGCGUGAGAGAAGAACGCCUUCGUGUUGCAAAGCCCUUUUGUGGGGAAACAAAAGCAACAGGUUAAUACCCUGCUGUGCAGACGGUACCAAAAGAAUAAGCACCAGCUAACUUCG